rnacentral:misc_RNA from 1 species
CUCAUCCUGGGUUGGUUUUGCUGACUGAGAUGCUGAAUAACCACGCCUUAACUUAAUUCCAUUUCCACUUAAGCUAAUGAUACUAGAAAAACUAGAAGCAUCAACAUUAAGCCACGCCUCCCAAGUAUUGUCUUCUCCUGUGAAAAGCGCAUGAAGUCCAUAAUUACUCACUGAAGUAGACCCUUGCAAAUCAAUACGUGCCGCAAAAAGCCCUGUCGGUUGAAAUGUCCUCCUAUGCCAAACCUGACGGCGAUAUGCAAUCUCUAAUUGUUCUGCAAUAUCUUCACGAAGAGGCAGCCAAUCAAGGCUCCCCUUAUGAGCAAACCAAUGACCCCUUAACACACGCCGAUUUUCUCCAUUCCAA